CACUCCUACGGGAGGCAGCAGUGAGGAAUAUUGGACCAUGGGUGGAAGCCUGAUCCAGCCAUCCCGCGUGCAGGAAGACGGCCCUAUGGGUUGUAAACUGCUUUUAUCUGGGGAUAAACCUACUUACGUGUAAGUAGCUGAAGGUACCAGAAGAAUAAGCACCGGCUAACUCCGUGCCAGCAGCCGCGGUAAUACGGAGGGUGCAAGCGUUAUCCGGAUUUAUUGGGUUUAAAGGGUCCGUAGGCGGACUGAUAAGUCAGUGGUGAAAUCCGACAGCUUAACUGUCGAACUGCCAUUGAUACUGUUAGUCUUGAGUAAGGUUGAAGUGGCUGGAAUAAGUAGUGUAGCGGUGAAAUGCAUAGAUAUUACUUAGAACACCAAUUGCGAAGGCAGGUCACUAAGUCUUAACUGACGCUGAUGGACGAAAGCGUGGGGAGCGAACAGGAUUAGAAACCCCAGUAGUCCCAUGAU
rnacentral:rRNA from 1 species